rnacentral:lncRNA from 1 species
GAAAAAUAACUGUAAUCUAUCAAAAAAGUUUAUUGUAAGCAAAAAUCAAAACUUCAAAAUUGCAUGUUAAAUGUCUACAUGUUGCACAUAUUAUCCUAAUAGUGUAUGACAUCAUCGUUAGGAUGAUCCCCUCAUUUUAAAAUAUUUCUUCUUGUCUUCCUGCAAUUGCUGGCUCAGCUCCAUAAUCAGUUCCUGCUAUUAUACUGCAUAAACUAGUACUCAUUAAACCAAUUUAUCCAAAAUAUGCCUUCAUCGCUAUACAAAAUAUUUUAGGAUAGUGAUGAAGGCAGUGAGAGCAGAGGAGACCUUAAUAUUUUUAAAAGAGUGCAAACUGAAUGAAGUAUUACAUACCUCAAUAUUUAAUAUUUAUUUAUUAGAUUACUGGUUAAACCUAGAAGAGUCUUGAGGAAAACUAAGCAAAUAUGUUUAAAAGUGGCAAUUACUGAAACCAAAAGAGUCUUCUACAAGUGGAAGAAAAAGCUAGAGGAAUAUAAAAGCAAAUGUGAGCAAACUGGAGAAUGGGACUUUAUUAAUUCUGUAAGCAUGCACACACAAAAUCUAAGUGCAAAGCUAAGAGAGCAAUAUAUUAGGAAAUUUAACUGGAUACUAAAGAAGCAGUUACUAUUUAGAAGUAAGAGAAGUUUUGAUUUAGACAAGGUAUUGACUGUAAUAGGGGAGGUUUAGCUGCCUAUUUUUACCAGAAAUGUUCUAGGAAAAGGCCCAACGUAUGCACUACCAGGUUGCUCAUUGAUUAUGGAUGAUAUCCCUAUUUUUGAAAGUUUAAUUAGGGACCAGGAUAGUUUAAAAAAAGAAAAUCUAAGAUGGGAAUUUAUACUACAAAAAUGCACAGAUUUAAAUAAAUGAAGUAAACUGAAAAAACUGGAGGCAAGGAAAGAUUGGGAGAAUGUUAGAAAGACAGUAGAAUGGAUGAGGGAAAAUAAUUAUACCAUAACCAGAGAAGAUAAGACGAGAAAAAUGGUGCUGAUAGACAAUGAACAUUAUGAUAACUUCCUGAAUAGCUACAUAGAAGAGUCUAAAGCAGUGGAACUCGCUAAGGACCUAACCAGAAAAAUUGAGGCAAUGGCAAAUAGAAUCAUUAAGUAUAGAAAGUUCCCACAGGUUUGGAAGCUGAGGAAGCAAGAAGCACCAACAUGUCCAAGAAUUUUUGCGUAUGUUAAGGCACAUAAAAUGCCGAUUUAAUACCGACAAAUAAUGGAGAAAAAAUCAGCACCAACCUAUGAAUUGGAGAAGACAAUUGUAAAAUGGUAUGAUGGAAUACUGGGAGAAAUAACAAGUUAAAUAAAUCAAGCACUUAUGCAAAGAAACUCUUUUAAUAUGGUAUAACAUUUUCAG